UACGUAGGUGGCAAGCGUUGUCCGGAAUUAUUGGGCGUAAAGCGCGCGCAGGUGGUUCCUUAAGUCUGAUGUGAAAGCCCACGGCUCAACCGUGGAGGGUCAUUGGAAACUGGGAGACUUGAGUGCAGAAGAGGAAAGUGGAAUUCCAUGUGUAGCGGUGAAAUGCGUAGAGAUAUGGAGGAACACCAGUGGCGAAGGCGACUUUCUGGUCUGUAACUGACACUGAGGCGCGAAAGCGUGGGGAGCAAACAGG
rnacentral:rRNA from 1 species